UAAACUACGUCACUUAAUUAAACACUAAAAACAUUGUGAAGAGUAGCUACGACAAUCUACUUUUUCACAACAUGUAAUACUUUUUAGAGCGCACAUUUAAAAACUGCACGUUUACCCGUUUAACUCAUUUAAUUUACAUGGCAGAGGUUUGUACAGCCCACUUGGAGUUAAAGUCCCACCCACUUGGAGCUCCUCCCUCCGUUUAUACCUACAUUACAUUUACAUUUAUUCACUAAGCAGACGCUUUUAUCCAACGCGACUUACAAAUGAGAAAAAUACAAGCGAAAUACAAAAAUACCUGUCCCGUAACAGAGAGCAAUGACUCUUUAACCUGCAGAAGUGUGUGAUCAGAAACAGAUGACGGAUCAGUCAGAGGAAAAGCAGAUGGAUCCCGCCCUCCGUGAAGAGAAAAACAGAGUGAUUCAGGACAGUGCCAGAAAAAGUCACAGUAAAUGGAACCACAUGUGUGUACAUGCAGGUGUGGUGUGUGUGUUGAUGUUAGUGUGUGUGUUGACGUUAGUGUGUGUGUGGUGGUGUGGUGUGUUCUGCUGCAGCAGUGUGUCGAGCAGAGUGGUUCCUCUGAUCAGUGCUGCCUCUGUCCUCUCUUUCCUUAUCAGUGUGUUCCUCUAAACACACACAAAUGCACACAGCAACACAGCAGAGCUUCAAACAGUCCAUUAUCAUUCCUGUCUCAAAGAAACCCCAUAUUACCUCAGUGAUGAUCGCCCAGUCUCCCUGACCUCAGUUGUGAUGAAGUGCUUUGAAAGGCUGGUCAGGAACUUCAUCACCUCUUCAUUACCUGACACCCUGGACCCAUUACAGUUCACAUACCAUCCCACUCGCUGGACUGAGGACGCCAUCACACUCCUCCUACACACAGCCCUGAGCCAUCUGGACACCAGCGAGGGAAAUUAUUAACUCUAUUAUUAAAAAGUAACUCUAUAAUUCCCUCCAAACUCACCACCAAGUUGGAGGACCUGGGACUCAACCCGUCCCUGUGUCAACUUAUUUUCACAACAUCCUCUACCUCAGCCUGAUGUUGCAUAGCACAAACAACUACACAUUACUCAAAAUACAUUUGUACUGUUUCUGCCACUGAUCUGUGUUAUAUCGUAUGUUUAUUUUUAUAUUUCUCCUUUCCUACCUGUAUAGAAGUAAAUUAUGGUUUUUGUGUCAAAAAAAGCAUUUCACUGCACUUUGUAUUGGUUGUGGUUGUGUUUCAAUUUCUUCUUAAAGCUAGUUUACAAAAUAGCUGAGAGGAAUAUUGCUAAUUAAUUCCUGCUGUGUGUGUGUGUGUGUGUGUGUGUGUGUGUGUGAGAGAGAGAGAGAGAGAGAGAGAGAGAGAGAGAGAGACAGACAGGGAUUCUGGUUUAGGGUGUGCCCUGAAGGACUUGGGACAGGAGUUAGAUCCCCGCGUGGGGAAGAUCGACGUGAAGCAGUUCAUGAUGCUGCAGAUCAGCUUCAUCGGCUGGUCUGAGUCACACCGCUUGGUAUUAUGGGAUUACCUUCAGAUUUGUACAAAUAUGGGCACAAUGAAAGUUAUGAGGUGAGAUGCAGAGGGUGAAUAUCUUAUAGGAAAUGACUCAUGGAGUGUCUGAUAUUUUUGUACACUUUUCUGGCCACAAGCUUCAAAAUCCAAAAAGCAUC